CAACGGAAUCCCAAAAGCAGCUGUUUUCCUCUUAAAGUUCCAGCUGCACUUGGAUUUCGUUCCU
rnacentral:pre_miRNA from 1 species